AGAUUGAACGCUGGCGGCAUGCCUAACACAUGCAAGUCGAACGGGAGUAGCAAUACUCUAGUGGCGGACGGGUGAGGAAUACGUAGGAAUUUGCCCUUAAGUGGGGGAUAACCCGGGGAAACCCGGAUUAAUACCGCAUGACCUCGAAAGAGCAAAGUGGGGGAUCGCAAGACCUCACGCUUUUGGAGAAGCCUACGUCGGAUUAGCUAGUUGGUGAGGUAAUGGCUCACCAAGGCUACGAUCCGAAGUAGGCU
rnacentral:rRNA from 1 species